rnacentral:tRNA from 1 species
GCCUGUGUGGUGAAAUUGGUAGACACGCCAUCUUGAGGGGGUGGUUUCCUAAGGAUGUGCUGGUUCGAGUCCAGUCGUAGGCACGA